AUAAUUUUUAUGUUCUUGUGAGGAAAAAGUAAAACCUGUUUAAUUUUAUUUGAUUUUUAUGACAUUGCUUUCAACAAGCAAAUGUUAAAUGUGUAAGACUUGACUUGUGUACUAGUGUUUGUGAUUCUCUUUAAGUUUUCCUGAAGGCCAAUUCCUGUUUGAUUCUUCCCAGUAAGUGAGGCAAGCAAUACUUCCACAAACAUCUAGCCAUCUAAAAUGGAGAGAUGACUCGUUCUACUUAUAUAAACGAGCUAGAUUUUAGAAGGGUUGGUUGGGUUUUCUGCUACUCUUAAGAUUUCAGAGUGUCUUCAAACUGAAAUCCCAAAGUGUUCUCAGGGUGAAGAACCUGAGAUCAGAUGCUUACUUAGGAAAGUGCUGUUCACUCAGUAAACCCGAAACAAAGGAUAAUGCUGGCCAAUAUAUUGCCUUUCUGACAUUUCCUUGGGAAUCUGCAAGAGCCUCCCCUUUCCCCCUCCCCCGUUAAGACCAUUUAAAGUGUGUAUUAAACAACUACAGAAUACUAAAUAAAAAAGUUUGGCCAAAACCAACCAUGAAGCUGCAAACGAUGCUUGCUCUUACUGUUUCAAAUUUUUGCAACUCUGUAGUGUCUCACUUUUAAAGGAACAGCUUGAUUGCAAAGGAGAAAAUAGAUAAGCAAUGAAGUUCUCUCCAACUUCUCAAAGGCUUAUGACUUCUAAAAAGUGAAUCAAUCAGCAUUCCACAUCAGAUUUAAAGCAUCAAAUGCCUGUGAAACAGCAAAGAUGGUUGAUUAUGGUCAAAUCUGGUCAUGGGAGUGCUGAUUUAUUCACUAGGUUGAGCUGGAGCAAGAGAACUCAAAUGCUAAGAGUUGCUGAAGCAGAAGAGUGCUGAUUGUCAAUAAGUCACACCAGUUGGCAAUACUCAUCAGAGUUGGUUUGGUCCUGGCAAUAGAUUUUGCCAUAAAUGGUUCCUGUGGAUCUCAGGGAGGAGGCAUCACUGGGUUUUGUUCAAAUGUGGAGUCUGAGUAUCUGGGGCUAAGGUGCAAGUUCUCAGCAGAGGGGUCUGAAACAGAUUGACUGGAGGUACCUGGGCGAGAGGUUACUCCUGCUCUGCUGGCUUUCGUUUUUAUUAGUUAUAGGACAAUGCUGCGAUUAAAAACUAUUUGAAGGUUGAAUGAGGGGAUUGAAAGGCUCAAGUAGUAAAGCAGAGAUUAGAUGUGUGAAAAAAAUGGGGAGGGUAGACAAAGAUGACAAACUGCUUGAAAUAUCAAAACACUUUAAACAGGUAGCUAAAUUACUUGGUAGGCACUAUUCCUUUUGUAAGCCUACUUCAACUCUUAAUCUUUUUUCUUGGUAACAGCAAUAUCAAUGCUUUAGAGAUAAGAGCCAGUAGUACAAAAAGCAGCCAAUGGUCAAAGGAUUUGAGCUUUGCAUUUGGGAACCUGAUAGGAACAUUUUAUCCCCCUCAUUUGACAAACUUGUAAUUAAGCAGAGCAUACUUGCAUAGGGACCAUCUUCCAUGAUCACUUCAGUCAACAUAUUAGAGGCCCCUUUGCCUCUACAUUUCUAGAUAAUCUUGGAGAUCAUGUAGAACAUUGGUUAUGGCAAAUACCAUGAAUAUUACAUUAAUACUAAGUGUGCUUAAAUGGCCAAGCAUGUUUUGACAUGCUUAUUGAUCUAGCAGACUUCACGCCUAGAAAAAGUGAGGCUUGAGUCUCCCAACUUGGUUGUGAAAGGUGGGAUGUUUAUUUGUAUAGCAGGUAGUAGUCUAACGUUACUAGGACUUGGAUAUAGUAAAUUGCUUUUGGAAUGUUUUGUAUUUGAUACUUAAUAAAACUUGGUAUACACGU